AGGGUUUGAUCAUGGCUCAGGACGAACGCUGGCGGUGCGCCUUAUGCAUGCAAGUUGAGCGAAGCUUUUUGGUAGUUUACUACUAAAAAUGACUGAGCGGCGAACGGGUGAGUAACGCGUGAGCAAUCUACCUUAGUUACUGGGAUAGCCCGAGGAAACUCGGAUUAAUACCGGAUAUUCUUAUUUUUUCACAUGAAGUUUUAAGGAAAGGUCAGCCGAACUAAGAUGAGCUCGCGUCCUAUCAGCUAGUUGGUGGGGUAAAAGCCUACCAAGGCUACGACGGAUAGCUGGUCUGAGAGGACGAUCAGCCACACUGGGACUGAGACACGGCCCAGACUCCUACGGGAGGCUGCAGCAGGGAAUAUUGUGCAAUGAGCGAAAGCUUGACACAGCGACACCGCGUGUGGGAUGACGGUUCUAGGAUUGUAAACCACUUUCAGGAGGGAAGAAAAUGACGGUACCUCCACAAGAAGACCCGGCCAACUAUGUGCCAGCCGCCGCGGUAAUAC
rnacentral:rRNA from 1 species